CCGUCGAUAUCUCAAAUGGUAGAGCGGAGGACUGUAGAGUUGCAGCAAUCCUUAGGUCGCUGCUUCGAAUCCGGCUCGAUGGA
rnacentral:tRNA from 1 species